AUGGCAUCUCAAAUUUUGCAAGAGAUAUAUGAACCUUGCACUUUGUAUCUCUAAAUAUAUGUUGAGCGAAACUCUGGACUAUUGGAGGAAAGCAAAACACCAUGUUGUGAUUUUCACGUGUAGAAUUGAGUGCAUCUCAAGUAACAUGAGGAUGAAAAAUGUGUUGCCGCUGCCGGAGUACUUUAACCUGGUAGAUACGGAGACGACGCUCAAGAUGAUCGAACGUUCCCGAUGAGGAGUCAUGGCACCUGGAUGAGCGCCUCAUCGAUGUCGUUGUUGGUCACUCAUUCCUCCUCUAACACGGUGACUGCACGAAGAGCUUCAAGGAGUUUGACAACGACAAUAUUUGUGGCACUGUCUACGUUCUCAUGUAGAUGUUCGUCGUGCUCACCUUCGGCACCCAAAUGCCCAUGGAUCGUGAUCAAGUAAUCCCAUUGUGAAACCCAAUUUUACAAAAAAUGUAUAAAUUAAUUAAUAAAAAUGCAUUGCAUUUAUGUU